rnacentral:rRNA from 1 species
UGGGGAAUAUUGCNCAAUGGGGGGAACCCUGACGCAGCCAUGCCGCGUGAAUGAAGAAGGCCUUAGGGUUGUAAAGUUCUUUCGGUAUUGAGGAAGGUUGAUGUGUUAAUAGCACAUCAAAUUGACGUUAAAUACAGAAGAAGCACCGGCUAACUCCGUGCCAGCAGCCGCGGUAAUACGGAGGGUGCGAGCGUUAAUCGGAAUAACUGGGCGUAAAGGGCACGCAGGCGGUUAUUUAAGUGAGGUGUGAAAGCCCCGGGCUUAACCUGGGAAUUGCAUUUCAGACUGGGUAACUAGAGUACUUUAGGGAGGGGUAGAAUUCCACGUGUAGCGGUGAAAUGCGUAGAGAUGUGGAGGAAUACCGAAGGCGAAGGCAGCCCCUUGGGAAUGUACUGACGCUCAUGUGCGAAAGCGUGGGGAGCAAACAGGAUUAGAUACCCUGGUAGUCCACGCUGUAAACGCUGUCGAUUUGGGGGUUGGGGUUUAACUCUGGCGCCCGUAGCUAACGUGAUAAAUCGACCGCCUGGGGAGUACGGCCGCAAGGUUA